ACAUGUUGUGUUAUCCUUCACAAUAUGAUUCUUGAAGAUGAGAGAGAAAUGAACUUGGAACUCUUCUACAAUGUGGGUAGCCAUGUCAAACCAACUAGAGAUCCUAACCGCAUUAGAGCUUUUCUUCGGACAUACAAGGAGAUUGAAAAUGCAAACACACACUUCCAACUUCAGGAGGAUCUCAUUGAGCAUGAUUGA
rnacentral:rRNA from 1 species